rnacentral:rRNA from 1 species
GCGUACCUUUUGUAUAAUGGGUCAGCGACUUAUAUUCUGUAGCAAGGUUAACCGAAUAGGGGAGCCGAAGGGAAACCGAGUCUUAACUGGGCGUUAAGUUGCAGGGUAUAGACCCGAAACCCGGUGAUCUAGCCAUGGGCAGGUUGAAGGUUGGGUAACACUAACUGGAGGACCGAACCGACUAAUGUUGAAAAAUUAGCGGAUGACUUGUGGCUGGGGGUGAAAGGCCAAUCAAACCGGGAGAUAGCUGGUUCUCCCCGAAAGCUAUUUAGGUAGCGCCUCGUGAAUUCAUCUCCGGGGGUAGAGCACUGUUUCGGCAAGGGGGUCAUCCCGACUUACCAACCCGAUGCAAACUGCGAAUACCGGAGAAUGUUAUCACGGGAGACACACGGCGGGUGCUAACGUCCGUCGUGAAGAGGGAAACAACCCAGACCGCCAGCUAAGGUCCCAAAGUCAUGGUUAAGUGGGAAACGAUGUGGGAAGGCCCAGACAGCCAGGAUGUUGGCUUAGAAGCAGCCAUCAUUUAAAGAAAGCGUAAUAGCUCACUGGUCGAGUCGGCCUGCGCGGAAGAUGUAACGGGGCUAAACCAUGCACCGAAGCUGCGGCAGCGACGCUGAUGCGUUGUUGGGUAGGGGAGCGUUCUGUAAGCCUGUGAAGGUGUGCUGUGAGGCAUGCUGGAGGUAUCAGAAGUGCGAAUGCUGACAUAAGUAACGAUAAAGCGGGUGAAAAGCCCGCUCGCCGGAAGACCAAGGGUUCCUGUCCAACGUUAAUCGGGGCAGGGUGAGUCGACCCCUAAGGCGAGGCCGAAAGGCGUAGUCGAUGGGAAACAGGUUAAUAUUCCUGUACUUGGUGUUACUGCGAAGGGGGGACGGAGAAGGCUAUGUUGGCCGGGCGACGGUUGUCCCGGUUUAAGCGUGUAGGCUGGUUUUCCAGGCAAAUCCGGAAAACUAAGGCUGAGGCGUGAUGACGAGGCACUACGGUGCUGAAGCAACAAAUGCCCUGCUUCCAGGAAAAGCCUCUAAGCAUCAGGUAACAUCAAAUCGUACCCCAAACCGACACAGGUGGUCAGGUAGAGAAUACCAAGGCGCUUGAGAGAACUCGGGUGAAGGAACUAGGCAAAAUGGUGCCGUAACUUCGGGAGAAGGCACGCUGAUAUGUAGGUGAAGUCCCUCGCGGAUGGAGCUGAAAUCAGUCGAAGAUACCAGCUGGCUGCAACUGUUUAUUAAAAACACAGCACUGUGCAAACACGAAAGUGGACGUAUACGGUGUGACGCCUGCCCGGUGCCGGAAGGUUAAUUGAUGGGGUCAGCGCAAGCGAAGCUCUUGAUCGAAGCCCCGGUAAACGGCGGCCGUAACUAUAACGGUCCUAAGGUAGCGAAAUUCCUUGUCGGGUAAGUUCCGACCUGCACGAAUGGCGUAAUGAUGGCCAGGCUGUCUCCACCCGAGACUCAGUGAAAUUGAACUCGCUGUGAAGAUGCAGUGUACCCGCGGCAAGACGGAAAGACCCCGUGAACCUUUACUAUAGCUUGACACUGAACAUUGAGCCUUGAUGUGUAGGAUAGGUGGGAGGCUUUGAAGUGUGGACGCCAGUCUGCAUGGAGCCGACCUUGAAAUACCACCCUUUAAUGUUUGAUGUUCUAACGUUGACCCGUAAUCCGGGUUGCGGACAGUGUCUGGUGGGUAGUUUGACUGGGGCGGUCUCCUCCUAAAGAGUAACGGAGGAGCACGAAGGUUGGCUAAUCCUGGUCGGACAUCAGGAGGUUAGUGCAAUGGCAUAAGCCAGCUUGACUGCGAGCGUGACGGCGCGAGCAGGUGCGAAAGCAGGUCAUAGUGAUCCGGUGGUUCUGAAUGGAAGGGCCAUCGCUCAACGGAUAAAAGGUACUCCGGGGAUAACAGGCUGAUACCGCCCAAGAGUUCAUAUCGACGGCGGUGUUUGGCACCUCGAUGUCGGCUCAUCACAUCCUGGGGCUGAAGUAGGUCCCAAGGGUAUGGCUGUUCGCCAUUUAAAGUGGUACGCGAGCUGGGUUUAGAACGUCGUGAGACAGUUCGGUCCCUAUCUGCCGUGGGCGCUGGAGAACUGAGGGGGGCUGCUCCUAGUACGAGAGGACCGGAGUGGACGCAUCACUGGUGUUCGGGUUGUCAUGCCAAUGGCACUGCCCGGUAGCUAAAUGCGGAAGAGAUAAGUGCUGAAAGCAUCUAAGCACGAAACUUGCCCCGAGAUGAGUUCUCCCUGACUCCUUGAGAGUCCUGAAGGAACGUUGAAG